UACGUAGGGUGCGAGCGUUGUCCGGAUUUAUUGGGCGUAAAGCGCGCGCAGGUGGUUUAAUAAGUCUGAUGUAAAAGGCAGUGGCUCAACCAUUGUGUGCAUUGGAAACUGUUAGACUUGAGUGCAGUAGAGGAGAGUGGAAUUCCAUGUGUAGCGGUGAAAUGCGUAGAUAUCGGGAGGAACACCAGUAGCGAAGGCGGCCAUCUGGCUGGUAACUGACGCUGAGGUGCGAGAGCGUGGGGGCAAACAGG
rnacentral:rRNA from 1 species